GUUGAAAAGUGUGUUGAAUUUCCGAGUUUUCGUAUUGGAAUUAACAAUUACUUUUUUUUUUUUUUUAUAAGGACUGAAGCACAUUUUACAGCAAAUCGUUCCAAGUAUCGAAGAGUUAUUUAGGUAUGUGCAAGGCUUUCAAUGUCGUUUAUGGGCAGCUGCAGCUACUGCUGCUGCAAGCUUUGCAUGUUCUUGUGCAACUUCCAUUUUCUUCUGUUCACUUCCUGCAGCCACAUAAGAAAACACACACAAUACUGCAUAACAAAUCUGAUCAGCCUGUGGAUGAAAAGAGCUGCCAAUGGAUCCUACAUGUCACAUCAGCCAAAUCUAGGGUGUUUUUUCUUACAAAGCCAUCGUGCAGGUAAGAAGUGCCCAGCCACAAGGACACCACAGCCAACAUUUCCAACCACGCAAAAAGGAGGAACCUUGACUUCAGAUGAUGGUAUGUGGCAACAAAUUUAAAAGAGGUGAGUAAAGCAGCAUGGGGUAGGGAAAAUUACUCAAAUAUCAUACUGGCAGCAACCAAGAGUUAAGUUAGUGAGGUUAAAGCAUGAGCUUGGUGCACUGUAGGAAGUGUGACUUUUUCUAUCCUGAGCUGAGGUAUGUUUUUCUUCUAAUUUAUACCAUAGUGUCAUUCUGUAUCAGAACUGAUAAUAAAUGGGUCAAGAAGUGACCAAAUAAGCACUGACAGUGGACUGCUUAAUACAUGGACACAGACUAAGCUAAUAAACAAUUUUUAGUUUGGCUUAAGUACCACACUAUCCAGUAGCUCUUGAUGAAUGUUUCUAUGCAGGAAGUAGAGAUUAGUUUAAGGUAAUGAAAAUGAAGAGCUUUUUAAUGUUGGAUGUAUGUAAGAUAGGUUCUAGAAUGGCUGGAGAGAGGCAGAUUUUUUACUCCAAAUAUUAUAUACAUGACAAAUUUCAUUUUUCAGACAAGCCAAUUGAGAUUUCUUCCAAAUUGGAAGUAUCUCCUCUGUCAUGGUCUUUACUCCUCAACAUAGAUUUAAGGCUCUUUACUCCUUUGCAUUGAUUUAAGGCAAUCACCAAUUUAUGCUGCCAGACUCAUAGUUCAGCACAUAUUGGUAGUAAAAGGGAGAGAUGGUGGAAGAUACUGGGCAGUAUUACAUAUUUCAAGCAGGUAAGAUUAUCUUGAGUUUUAAGUAUUUAAGGAAGAAGAAAUGCAGCUGCGUAGAUGUUGCACAGCCAUGUCCUCUCUACAAAUGUUGCAUGACCGAGAAAAAACUCUAUACUUGAUUGUUUUCAUUAAUUUCAUCUCCUUAUGCUCUCCCCUGUUUAUAGACAUAAACUUUGAAGCCACUUCUUCAUAGCUUGAGUGUGUCAAGUUUGUGUGCUUCUUCAUCCCAACACAUUCCCACUCGGGAACAUUGCCACAGCAUGGCAGAUUCAGGCCAGGCCCCAACCACAUUUACUGUUCACGUGGAGGCUUGGAGGAAAUGGGAUGGCUCUUCUAAGUUUUUUCUCCAUGUUCAAGUAAAGUUUUUGUAAUGGAUGGAUCACUCUUCAGAGAACGUUUCCUGCCACCAUGAUUGGGGAACGGUUGCUGACACAUCUGAGAGACAUCUGUAGCAACCCCCCCACCUUCACAUUGUUGUGAACAGUAUCAUGAAAGUCUCCAUGGCACUGCGGAGUAGUGCCUCCAUUGUACAUUCCAGUCUUCAGAUCAGCUCAAAAGUAUACUUUACCUCCCUCUCUGGUUCCCGCGACCUCUCUCGUUGACCCAGUUGUAAUGUCAACUGGAGUUGUCGGAAAUUAUAGUGUUUGUGUCAAUUGAUAGUCUUUGGCUCAGUCUUUCCAGACCAUGGGCAUAAACAGCCAACAGCCAUACCACCUAAAGGACUUGACCUUCAAGUCCAGUGCCGAUGACUCAUUGUUAGUUCCGGCUCAGCCAAGAAGCAGUAUCCAAGAGCACCAUUUCUUUUGACUUAGCGUGAUAAUCAAAUGCGCAUACUCCAGAGCUGAUGUGGUGGACAACAGUACAUUCUGGGCGAGAUUUCGCAUGGUCAGGGGCAUUGGUCUGCCCCUCGCAUUCAGGAAAAUCCCAUCAGACAGGUACUAAGGACGGAAACGUGGUCACAACAGACCACAUUCACCUUCUUUUUUACCUUUGUGAUGUCCAUAGUUUUUUUUUUUCCCUUGGGUUUUGUGCUGACUGCUCAGCAGUCAUGUAGUUCACCCAGCUCCUUUAGAGGGACAGGUGGCAUCUUGCCUAAGGUGUAUGGCUACAAAAAAGAGGGUGUGUGUGGGACUGGCCUCCUACCUUUCUCUUUUAUACCCUUCCUCUCCCAGUGGGCAGAUUAGCAACCCGUCACAUGCUGAACAGACAUGCUUGCAAGUGUUCUAGACAACUUGAGUAUCCUAUCUGUAAUCUAGCUCAAUUUGAAUUAAGAGAUGCAAGUCCUACCCUCUCACACAGUAACCAUAUUAUGUACUUAUAUUAUUAUUCACAAUGUUUUGUUCAUUUGUAAAAACUUAUAUUACCAAUAGUCUAACAUUUUCUAGUCCUGAAAACUAUAUGCUAAGGGAUAUUUAACCCCCUUUAACUGACCUUCAAACCCCAUGAAGUGCUUUCACAAUACUGAAAGGUUAAAAGUAAAAAUGUCUUAAAGCAGCACAUUUUGGAAGAACUCUGAAAAUGUUCAGUACCUGUAACAAAUGCAAAACUUUUGCUGAAUUUUUUUUCCCUAUAGUUCUACUGCAGCUUUUUUAAGUGUAUUCCGGAUUCAGAAAUUCUAAAAAUUACAUGGCAUUUUCUACUCAAGCACUAAAUUAGCUGGCUGAAGUGUCUGCCAAGUACAUCAUAAUUAUUUUCCACUGCUUUUAACAUUUUCAUUAAUAACCAGUUUUGUUAAAACAUUUUUUUACAACUACUAUUGAAAAUUGUAUGUCAGAUGACCAAAGACUGAAAAUUUGGCUGGGUCUGAAGUUUUACAAAUGUAAUCUUUUUUUGUUUUUUUUUUAUUUGACUUCGGGAAAAUCCUUUACUGUAUUGUACAAAUAUCUGGGAUUAAGUGUAAAUGCAACUGGAAAAGUCUAUGGUCAUCUAACAUUGCUGUGAGAACAAUUACAUAACUGUAAUUCUAAAAUCCUAUUUUUAAUGAAGUGCUCUAUUAGUAUGAUUCAAGAUUUCAAAAUGUUGCACAUUACUUUCCAUCUUAAAGGGGAUAACCCUAACUAAAGUAUAUUAUUUUUAUACCUUAUUGAAGCAGACAAUGACAUUAUAUUAUAGUAAUAAAAAUAUAUGUAUAUCUGAAAAAUUACAUGUAUACUAAAAUAUAUCUGAAAAAAUUACUCAUAUAAAAAUUAUAGUAUGUAUUGCAAUGUAUAUUAUUAUUAAGCAAUUUAUUCACCUGUAAAGGCCAAGACUGUAUCAUAGAGAAGCAAUAUUGAAUUAAAUAAAUACAGUAUUAGUACAUAAAUGAGAGACUGUAGUUAGCAUACCAGUAACAACAUCAUUACUUACUGUACUCCUCUAAAACAAAUAUUCCUCCUUUCUGAGUGAAGCACUUUCUGAUAUGGUCCAA